rnacentral:rRNA from 1 species
GACGAACCGUGCGAACGUUGUUCGGAUUCACUGGGCUUAAAGGGCGCGUAGGCGGUCGACCAAGUCUGGGGUGAAAUCUUUCGGCUCAACCGGAAAAGUGCCCCCGAUACUGGCCGGCUAGAGGGAGAUAGGGGCAUGCGGAACUUCCGGUGGAGCGGUGAAAUGCGUAGAGAUCGGAAAGAACACCAACGGCGAAAGCACUCUGCUGGCCGACACUGACACUGAGAGACGAAAGCUAGGGGAGCGAAUGGG